GGCAUUGGGCUCAAACAAUUUUAACGGCACACUUCCUGAUGAGCUGGGCAAAUUGACAAAACUUAGACAAAUAUACAUUGAUAGUAAUGACUUCAGUGGUCCUCUACCAUCGACAUUGUCACAACUGAAGAACCUCUCAGUCUUGUGGGCAUCAGACCAUAAUUU